rnacentral:Y_RNA from 1 species
GGCUGGUCCGAAGGUAGUGAGUUAUCUCACGUGAUUGUUCACAGUCAGUUACAGAUUGAACUCCUUGUUCUACUACUUUCCUCCCUCCUCACUACUGCACUUGACUAGUCUUAA